rnacentral:rRNA from 1 species
CCCUUAGAUGUUCUGGGCCGCACGCGCGCUACACUGACGAAGUCAGCGAGCAUGUCCUACGCCGACAGGUGCGGGGAAUCUUGUCAAACUUCGUCGUGAUGGGGAUUGAUUAUUGAAAUUCUUGAUCAUCAACGAGGAAUUCCUAGUAAGCGCAAGUCAGCAGCUUGCGUUGAUUACGUCCCUGCCCUUUGUACACACCGCCCGUCGCUACUACCGAUUGAAUGGUUUAGUGAGAUCUUCGGAUUGGCGCCACUGCAGCUCAGCAAUGGGCUCGGUGGAUGCCGAAAAGUUGAUCAAACUUGAUCAUUUAGAGGAAGUAAAAGUCGUAACA